rnacentral:rRNA from 1 species
UGGGGAAUUUUGGACAAUGGGGGGAACCCUGAUCCAGCAACGCCGCGUGAAUGAAGAAGGCCUUAGGGUUGUAAAGUUCUUUUACAUGGGAGCAAGUUUAGUAGGUUAAGAGCUGAUUAAAUUGAGAGUACCAUGAGAAUAAGCACCGGCUAACUACGUGCCAGCAGCCGCGGUAAUACGUAGGGUGCGAGCGUUAAUCGGAAUUACUGGGCGUAAAGGGUGAGUAGGCGGAUGUACAAGUUAGAUGUGAAAUACCUAGGCUUAACCUGGGAGGUGCAUUUAAGACUGUAUAUCUAGAGUCUGUUAGAGGGGGGUAGAAUUCCAAGUGUAGCAGUGAAAUGCGUAGAGAUUUGGAGGAAUACCGAAGGCGAAGGCAGCCCCCUGGGAUAAGACUGACGCUGAGUCACGAAAGCGUGGGUAGCAAACAGG